rnacentral:rRNA from 1 species
UACGUAGGGGGCAAGCGUUAUCCGGAUUUACUGGGUGUAAAGGGAGCGUAGACGGCCAGACAAGUCUGAAGUGAAAAUCCAGCGCUUAACGCUGGAGGUGCUUUGGAAACUGCCGGGCUGGAGUGCAGGAGGGGCAGGCGGAAUUCCUAGUGUAGCGGUGAAAUGCGUAGAUAUUAGGAGGAACACCAGUGGCGAAGGCGGCCUGCUGGACUGCAACUGACGUUGAGGCUCGAAGGCGUGGGGAGCAAACAGG